rnacentral:lncRNA from 1 species
CCGUGCAUCAGGCGAGCUAUCUACCACUGGGCUACAUUCUGCCUCGGAUGGAUUGAUGCGUGGCUGCUACGGUACACGCCGAAUGUGACAUCGAACGUGCCAAGUUUUGCCAAAAUAAAUUCAUUGACGGGUUGUCGGGCGGUGGACAGAAUAGCUUGAUGUUAUGCACCUUACACCUCAAGUUCAAAUCUUGCAUUAGCCUCGCCGAUUGCAACAAUGAUGCUGUCUAUGGACCACUCAGAGUCGAGGCCAUCAACGAUAUGAACAUAUUUUGUAACAGCGACGGGGCCAUGAUGGUUGCUUCAAUCUCGACCAUGUUUGUCGCUCUCCUCGCAGUGUUCUUCAUGUAAAGAACUUUCAGAGCCAGGCAAUACUAAUGAAGUCACCUACUCUCUGAGAUGACCAGCCGCGUCUGUUGACAGCGUUAAGAGAUUUGUUUUUCUACAAUAUUAAAGUCUUCUUCUUACUAAACUCUAUAUUUGUAUCUUUCUUAAAUAAAGAAAAUAAUCUUUGAA